GACGAACGCUGGCGGCGUGCCUAACACAUGCAAGUCAACUUGACUGAAGGAGCAAUCUGACAGUAGAGUGGCGCAAGGGUGCGUAACGCGUAAGUAACUUGCCCAAGGUAAGGAAUAACGUCGAGAAAUCGGCGCUAAUACCUCAUAAUGCAGCGGAUCCGCAUGGAUAUGUUGUUAAAGGUUUACCGCCUUGGGAUAGGCUUGCGUCUGAUUAGUUAGUUGGUGUGGUAACGGCACACCAAGGCUACGAUCAGUAACUGGUCUGAGAGGAUGAUCAGUCACACUGGAACUGAGACACGGUCCAGACUCCUACGGGAGGCGGCAGUGAGGAAUAUUGGGCAAUGCUCGAAAGAGUGACCCAGCAACGCCGCGUGGAGGAUGAAGGUAUUCUAUAUCGUAAACUCCUGUGAGAGCAGACGAAAGACAGAUUAUAAUCUGGAUGACUGUAUGCUCAG
rnacentral:rRNA from 1 species